rnacentral:tRNA from 1 species
UUGGGUGUAGCUCCGUGGUAGAGCGCUUGCCUAGCAUGCAUGAGGCUCUGGGUUUGAUCCCCAGUACUGCAA